UCUCCCCCGAGGUCCCAACCCAUCUGACCAUCUCCAAUCUCCAAAACAGGGGGAAAGGCAGGCACUACCGCCGGCAACUUUGAAAUCCGACGAGAUGGUCGUUGCCGGCGCCAUCCGACCCCAACCCCUCUCAUGCGUCCUCUCUGCUUCACUGCCCGCCGACGCCACGGCCCCAUCCUCCCCGCCGUCUCCUCCACCCGUUUCCCAUCUCACUGGACGCCAAUCUCGGCAAGCAGGACGCCGACGCCUCUACUACCUCCUCGCCUACCGCUGCAGGACCACCGACGACCAUCACUGCCACCACUCCCUCCUUCUCGCAAUCCUCUCCCCAUCACAUGUCUGCACCGACGCCGACCGCCGCAGACCAAUAGAAAGCAACUGGGCAGGCAUAUGUGACUCACGCUGUGUCAACUACACCCAAAGAAGCCACGCGCUGGUCACAAAAAUACUCAGAUUGAACGGACUUCGCCUUUUGAUCUCCUUCGUUAAGUUCCAAGGUUCAAAAGAUACUUGAUAAGCUCAAGAGAAACCCAUGGGUUUAGGUGUGGAACUAAGAACCACAAGGUCAUGACAUAGUGGCUGAGCUUGAUUGAAUAGAUAUUCAGUAUGAGCACUCAUUUAGAGAUUGGUAAUUAUGAUCAGAUAUUUAUAAGUAGUGCAACUGGCUUCAUAUUUAAGUGUUUUUGGAUAACCUCAUACUUCGUCAUGUUUUUUUGGUGUGGUGGUAGGGGGGGGGGGGGGGUCAGAUCUUCCGGCCAAAUGUUACAGCACUCGCGCCAACAAAAUGAUGAAGGAAAACAAAAAGUGGUCGGCGAUAAUAAUAAGUCCAACAGAGCAGGCUCCAAUGGCAUGCCACAAGCUCAUACGAGUCUAUUUAUAUGUGAGCCGACAUACGUGACACAUUUAGGUUACACGUCUUCUUGGGAUGAUGAAGUGACAAACCAAUCAGAUAUGAUUAUUCCUACUGAUGGUAUGCUCACAUCAAUUGGGGAUUUGGAGCGAGGAGAAAUUUCAAGAGUAUUUUGAGGCAAAAAAGGAAUAUGAGUUGGUCGAGGAAUAUUAUAUAAGGAUUUCCCAUCAUAUUUUACAUACAAAAAUCUAGCGCAUUAACACAACAUCAAUGUACGAUGUCACAAAUUUUCGUGUCGAAAUUUGAAAUAUUUUAUAAGAUACAAAAAUGGUAAAUUCAAUAUCAGUGUGAUAAUGGGUCAAAUCUAAAGCCAAGUUAUGUUAUGUACUAUUCAAUGUUAAAUUUAUCAUUUUUAUUGUUCAAUUUACGUUUCGAGUUUUAACUUGAAAUUUUGUGACAACCUGCACUAAUGUUGUGUGAAUGUGCUAAAUUUUUUCAGAAUUUUGUGAACAUUUGAAAAGCACAACAUAAGCUCCGGUGCACCUAAUAUUUUCCCCUUUUGCUUGGCCAAGGGGGUAUAUCAGUUGGAAACCAUAUGUUUGAUUUUGCUCGGCGUGUACCUAUCCACAAUAUGGCAUCACUUUGAUAAAUGUGUUGGUGCAUCUUUUAUUGUUUACUAAACUCCUGACACUUCAGUAAAUAUUUCAUCUGAUCUUUUGUGAUUCCGUGACGUAGCACGGACAUCUUACUAGUAUUGUAAAAAUAGCUGCGGCUCAUAGGAUGUAGCAAUGUUUCCUCUUGACUUCAUGUCUUGCCUUACACCUUCUUGGAUCCCGCAACUUGUAUGUUCCCUUAUAACAAAGUAAAUCAGAAGCUCUUGCGGUGUAUACUUCGCCGCUGUUCUAGAGUUCU